rnacentral:rRNA from 1 species
CCUACGGGAGGCAGCAGUGGGGAAUAUUGCACAAUGGGGGAAACCCUGAUGCAGCGACGCCGCGUGAGUGAAGAAGUAUUUCGGUAUGUAAAGCUCUAUCAGCAGGGAAGAAAUAAAGUCCUUCGGACUUUGGACGGUACCUGACUAAGAAGCCCCGGCUAACUACGUGCCAGCAGCCGCGGUAAUACGUAGGGAGCAAGCGUUCUCCGGAUUUGCGGGGUGGAAAGGGAGCGUAGGCGGCAGCGCAAGGCUGGGGUGAAAUCCCAUGGGUUAACCAUGGAACUGCUUGGGAAACUGUGCAGCUGGAGUGCAGGAGAGGUAAGCGGAAUUCCUAGUGUAGCGGUGAAAUGCGUAGAUAUUAGGAGGAACACCAGGGGCGAAGGCAGCUUACUGGACUGUAACUGACGUUGAGGCACGAAAGCGUGGGGAGCAAACAGGAUUAGAUACCCGAGUAGUC